rnacentral:tRNA from 1 species
ACCUGGCUGGCUCAGCUGGUAGAGCAUGUGACUCUUGAUCUCAGGGUUGUAAGUUCCAGCCCCAUGUUGGGUG